UCCAACCACAUCACAACCACACCUCAACUCCAUUAACUUCUCAAAUACUUUCUUCUCUCUACUAUAAAUCUAAUCCAAAUUUGCACAUUAUUCCAAAUGAGAAUCAAUCAAAAUGAUAAACCUAAGAUCACAAGCUUUCACAAAGAAACAAAAUGACACAAUUGGUAGAAUCAAACCAAAAGGUCGUUGCAAAAAGCACCCAAAACACAACCAAUCACCUGGCGUGUGUUCUCUUUGUUUAACCAACAUGAAGUUAUAAAGAGCAAGUCAUUUGGAAGAAGAAAAUGUGAAGAUGGUGUUGAUGAGCAUGGAAAUAAAAGAUGUGGAUUUUGGUUCAACUUGUUUCAUGCUAAAAGAAAGAGAAUUGGAGGUUAAUCUCAAAGAGAGAUAAAAAAAGAAGAUGGCUAGCUAAGAGAAGAAAAAGUUCACACAUAUGUACAUCAAACAGAUUAGGAACUAUGGCAAUAUACAACUUCAAUACAACUUAAAUACAUUCUAUUGUUUAGAAUUUAGAUUAUUUUAUUUUAGUUUAGAGUUAUUUUUCUUUUUUUGUGUCAAUAUAUUCUUAA